rnacentral:lncRNA from 1 species
GUCUCUGAAAGUGGGGCUCUUAGUUAGACUCAUUCAGGUAAUUUGCCAUGUAGGUAGAAGAGGCUUUUGUCCAGCUUCCUGGGCUUUUGAAAAUCCAUCCUCCAGGAGCCCUGGCCAAUCACGGUCCCUGUUCUUCAGCAGAACUUGCAGUUGUCAAGAAGGCGUCUUUAAGAACAGAAUGACAGAACUCUGGGAAUCUGGGCCUGAUGUACUCCUAGUCCUAUUUCUACGGAGCGGGGGGCCUUAGAUAAACCUCGUCUCUUUUCAAAGCCUUGGUUUCCUCUUGUGUCACACUGAGAAGGUUGGAGCAGGUCCCUGCUUCCAAACAUCCUACUUUCCUGACCUGAGGCAUAUCUAGGUAUUACCUGCCAGCACCUGCACUUCAUAUACACCGAGUAUGAGAGGUUUCUAAGGUACCAUCUGCCUCAGCCCCAUCCUAGACAGUCAUAUGGAUGAACUCAUGUAGUUUAAUGUACCAGGUAGACGUGUGUGUGUGUGUGUGUGUGUGUGUGUGUGUGUGUGUGUGGUCUAAAUGAAUUAAAGUAAGUAGACAACCACUAAAAUGAUCUUAAACGUUUCGUUGCCGUCACCACACAUCUCCACCCUGAUGAGAACAUCAGCCUCCCUGACCUCUGAGACCCCAGCCUGCUCCAGGAAUUUGCAAGUCUAUGAAAAAGAACUGUAUCAUUGGACUCAGGUAAGCAAAUGCUCCUGUACACAAAGAAACUGCCUACAGGCCUGGUCAGCUUCAGACCAGAGCGUAGUGUCUGUUGAGAGAAAAGCGCUGAAAUGAAAACUGGACAGUUACAUGGUUUAUUUUAGAAGGAGAGAAAGGCACAGAGAAGUUGAGCAAAGUCAUGACCCAUGGCACAACCCAGCCAAAUGCAGAAGAGAGAAAGAUAAACCUUGCAGGAAGGAAGAACCAAGGCAAGAAGAGAAAAUCCACAGACCUGGGGAGGGUGUGCCAUCCUUCAACCCCUGUGAGACGGAGCCUGAUCCCAGCUGUCUGGGCCUGAAUGGAGCUUUCACCAGUCCUCUGUGGGAGAUCUGGCAGGGAAUUAGAAGGGUUACGCGAUGGAGUUCCCGUCGUGGCGCAGUGGUUAAUGAAUCCGACUAGGAACCAUGAGGUUGCAGGUUUGAGCCCUGGCCUUGCUCAAUGGGUUAGGGAUCUGGUGUUGCCGUGAGCUGUGGUGUAGGUCACAGAAGCGGCUCGGAUCCCGCGUUGCUAUGGCUCUGGCGUAGCCUGGGAACCUCCAUAUGCCACAGGAACAGCCCUAGAAAAGGCAAAAAGACAAAAAAAAAAAAAAGGAAGGGUUACACUGCCAAGGAUGAUUAAGGAAACAAUUUGCAAUUGACAUUCAAGGAUGGACUUAAGACUGGGUUUGACGGAGGAAUUGAGAGAAUCAGGCCAGAGCUUCUCCUGGUAACACUGAUCACACCAGUGCUGCGAUCAUCAGGUAGCCAGAGACCUAUUCUGAGCCCUCUUCAUCUGCUUGGGCAGGAGGGAAACCCGGCAGGGGGUGGGGCGGGGCUAUGAGUUGGUACCGAACAGAGCAGCUGGUUGCUGAGAUGCUCUUCCUGUCUUAACAACACCCGGAAGUGACAGAGCCAGGACAGAGUCAACAGUGACCUGCGUGACACGAGAGACCGAAUGGACAAACGGCCAGAACUCCGACCCACAACCUCUGCAGCAGCCAAACCACAAACUCAGCAGCCGUCAAUCCCAAAGAGGCAGGACGUGCUCGUUAAUGCCAGGAUCUCUCAUGUUUGCCUUCUCCUCCAACUCAGGACCAACUACAGAAAGCCACAUAUCCCUCCACCCAAGCACAGAGGCAGCCCAGCUCCUACCGGCCGGCCUCCAGCCUCCCCAGGCCAACAGCCUCCAUCAGAACACACCUGAAGCAUCCAUUCUUUUACUCGACAACUUUCCCUCUCCCCUGCCUGCCUUUGAGUCUCUGCUGAGCACCAGUGAUGGGGGGUGACUCCCCUGCUACAGCAAGCUCGGAAUAAAAGGCUUCGGCUUGUUCCCAUUGGGGUUGUCGUGCCUAUUUCCACUCCCAUCUUAAAUUGCCUAGGAUUUUGAUUAAGGCCUACAUUUGCCACAAAGUCCGCUCCUCAUGUGCCUUUGAGUUGUGCCCAAAGAUCUACCUAUAAGAUUCCCGUUGCCCUAACUCCUGACAUGGAAUACGACACACACACACUUGUGCCUGUGCGCACACUACUGGAACUGGCUUGAAUCAUUUAUGUAUCUGAUUGAAUUAUUUAUGUCCUCAUUCCAAGUGUGCUAAAGGCUUCCACUGACGUCUGCUCUGGUGUGCAUUAAGCCUGUAUGGGGCAAUUGCUUCGACUUAUAUGACACCCAAGGCAGAACCCAAGUGGAGACAGGCCCUUACCAAGAUUUAAUGAGGACACUGCUGCUAUUGUCUGCUGCUACCCAGAAACUAAACAACUGAGUUUAUGUUGGACUCAAUACAAUCCAUUUCUUGAUAAGUCUGAGGUUAAGACCAAGGGUCAGCAAACUCUACCUGGAGCUCUAUGUAGCCCACUGCCUAUUUUAUAAAUAAAGUUUUAAUGACACACAGCAACACUCAUUCAUUUCCUUAUUAUCUAUGCCUGCUUCUACCCUACCAAGCAGAGUUGAGUAGGUGUGACGAAGACCAUACGGCCUGCCCCCAGACCCGUCCCUUUUUGUCCUGUUCUGUACCUGGAAGCCCCAGCAGACUGCAUCUCCCAGGUUGCCUCACCUCCAAGCCAGUUGGGCUUGACCAAUGGGAAGCUGCCUGCGGGAAACCAGGGAGGGAGAGGAGAGAGGCCGGCGCCCCCACCGCCUCACCACAUCUAUGAUGGAACCUGUCUCUCCUGGGUCAGGGCUCCUUACAGACGGCACCUCUUCCACAAGCCAGCUCUCACUGAGUUCCCCUAAUGCCAUGUACCCCCAGGGGUUGACAGACAGCUUCUUCUUGUUGCUAGUCUGAGGGACCUCAUUCACCAUCCCUGGUCAUUUCUGCAACGGCCACACUGCACUCCUUUUUCUUUGCACUGGACUCACCUGGGAGCAGCCCUGCUUGUGUCUUGAUCAGUAAAGUCCCUCCACUCGAACCAUUUGAAACGCCACAUGAACCAUCUGCUUUUUGCUGGAACCUUGACCGAUACUGUCCUUGUCUGCCUUUCAAUAAUAACUCAGUUAAUCAACUGGUCUAACCCCACUCAGGAUAUAAGGUCAAAGCACGUUCACUCAGCACAUGCGUGAACAAUGGCACUGUAAUGAGAGAGGGGCCUUUCAAAGCUGACAUCUGCAUUCAUAAAAUGUCUUUGGAUCAGCCUCGCCCCGUCUCCAUCCCAUAGUGUACUUUAAGGAUAAGAAGCGCUUUUCCGUGAGCAACCCGAGUUUACGUAGGGCGGCCCAUCCACACGAGCCGUCGAGCAUCAUUAGGAGGCUGCUCUGGAGACGGCGAUGUUGCAAACAUCACUGCCCCCCAGCCCGCAGUUACAGCGCGCCAGGAGCUCGCUGUCCCCCCAGAAGCAGGACUGGCCUUUCUGUUCUCUUCCGAGUCAAUCUCUUUAUUGUUUCCCUCCUCUGGUAGAGAUGGUUUUAAUAUGUCCCAUUUCUGAGCAAAUUCUCUCAGCUCAUCUUCUAAAUUCUGAAAUUCCACUUGGGGUCCCACUGGGCUGUGUUUGUUUAUAAGGUCACAAAAGGUUUCUUUAAGCUAAAUCAAGCUGGGUAGCAUUCCUGUGCCUGAAGUUUUCUAGAAGCAAUAUCCGUAGCAAGACAGAGGGGGUUUUAAAUCAUGUGUCAGAGAUUGAGCUCCUCGCCAGGCCGACCCUAAGGACACUUCUUGCCUGCUUUUGUCCUUUAAUUUUUGUUUUUUAUAUGGAAUGACAUAAUGGAUGUGAAAGUUCUUGGUGAACCGUGAGGACCUCUCUAAAGUCAGGGAUUAUGACGAUGACCUCAGAGUUUGGGAACAUCCUGUCUCCUCGGGUUUAUUUGAUUCCUCAUUUUUCAGGGGUCAUCAGACUCUAAAGGAGACCGGAACAUUUUCCCAAGAUCUCCUUUUACACGUGGGGUAGAACAGAACCUAGUGAAUAAUAGAGCCAUUCAUCACUUAUUUCCCCAACACUUACUGGACACCUUCUAUGUGUCAGGCAUAAGGCGGGGGCGCCUGGUGAGUGUAAAUAACACAAUUUUGGUCCUCUGGCAGUCUAGCAUCUCCUUGGUUCUCACGCUGUGCCAGGCGCUGUGCGAAAUACUCCACACGCGUUAUCUCAAUGCGUCUUUACAACUAUACGAAGUUAAUUACAUCAUCCACACGAUACAGACAGACGUCAUCACGAAAACAAUGGUGUAGAUGGUGACCCUUGACCGAGGGCUCACUUUGUGUCGGGUAGUGGCUGAAAUCCUGUACGAGCAUCUCCCUUUCUCCUCAAAAUAUCCCCAAGAGCAUGAGACUGUCCCUCUUUCUCAAGGUAACAAUUAACCUUUAUUGACCACUUAAUGUUGGUAAUAUGACCCUAGGUAUUUUAUACACAUUAUCUCAUUUAAUUCCGUCAAGACUCAUGAAGAAGACACACUAUUAGACAAGCACUAAAGAAACGUGUCCUGGUUCGCGUGGCUGGAAUUAAUACAAUGGACAUUCUAACCAGUCCUUUAUAAAGCCCAUGAUCUUAACUGGGACACAAGACUACCUCCUGAGGACAUAUUUUAUUCCCAGAAUAACUGAUUCUCAAAGGAAAAACAAGCCAAAAGAUAGCAAAUUACUCAUCACAGUCAACACUGAGGAAGGAGGGUUGUGACACAAAUCUGAAAUCUCCUUUCUUUAUUCACCUUAUACUGUUUUUGUUAUUUCGUGUCUUCCUCCGUUCAAACUUUCAGGUAUAAACUGCAGUUUAUCUUCCUUUACCACGGGAUUGGCACUGUUUGUAAACAGAGUCUCUAAUGGAUCACUAGAAAGGAAACACAAAAGACUCCUUAACCCACUGCUAGGAUCAAUGCUCUCUGGGUAAAUCUUUAUUUUGUUAUAUUUCAAAUUCACCUAAGGUUUCCUCCUGAGUAUUCCCAGAGAGGGCGCAAGAAAUAUGGAAAUUUUUGUCUAUUAUAAUGAUAUUCUACAAACUAGUCCUCAAAGUGUUCACACACUCCCCCACUCUCUCUCUCUCUCUCUCUCACACACACACACACACACACACACACACACACACAAAAGCUUUCCUUUGGGAUGGUGUGGAAUGAUAUGCACCAGAAGAAUGGGAUAAAAAGUCCCAGGUUCAAAUGGAAUGGGAUGACACAGACCAGAAUAUCUAGUAAUUCAAUACAAGAGCGUGGAGUUGAAGAGAAAAGAAGAGAGGAGAGUGGAAUAGAACAGAUAGAUGCCCGCUAUCUGGCUUGUUUCCUGUUUCUUCACACGUGUGGCAUUCAACAGAAAAGCUUGUGUAAACAGCUGGUCCCCGACAGCCACAGCAGCUGAUGCUGGGCUUUGUAGAUCCAAAGAGGGCCACUCAACAGAGGGGAGUCCGCUCCGCCCUGGAGACCCGCAGUACAGAGCAUCUAACACCAAGAAUCUUUUAUUUCCAGGUAGGAGAGGAGACCGGAAACACUCAACUGCACAUGGUCCCCUUUUAAGUUCUGCCUUCCUCGGAGCUGGAGAGUUCCGUGCUCAAGGCUCUUGCUGAUGCUGGACAUGAAACUUAUCCAGGACAAAGUGAUUUUGAAAUAAAAUCUCAGAUAAAGAGUUUGGGCUUUGGGUAGGCUGCCCACAGCCUUCAGAAACACUGCAGUGAAGAACUUGGAUACCGCGAAGAAGUCAUGCCAAUUUUUUUGACUCUUAGUUGUCUGAUGUUUUCAGAGAACUUCCAACGAGCACCAUUCUAACAGCUCCCCUGGGCCAGCUUUGGAUCCAGGACUGUUACCCUCCUGCGAAUGACUUCACCCUGAAUCACCACGACAUCCUUAGGGACUGUAUCUCACAAAGGAAGA